AAUCAAGCGCCGUGCCUGAUGUGGAGGGAGCGGAGGCUGCGCGGCGGAGAGUAGAGAGCUAGAGGGUGAGAAGCGCUGGGCCGGACCAGAACUGUCUUAGCUUUUCCCUCUGCGGCUGCUCUGGUUGGUUACUUUGAGCCUGCCUCCUCAGCGCCGCAGGAGAGACUUAACAGCAAAAAUGACUGUGUCCUGAGUUCAGCCCCCACUGCUCUGGGAGCUUCCCCCUGGUUUCUGCACCUGAAGAAUGUCAUCCCAGCCGAAGGUUCUUAGGAGCGGGGAGCGACAAAGAAAAACAAAGAAAAGCAGACCUGAAAAUUGGGACCUGGGAGAAAUAGACGAGUGCUCUAAACCAGUAUCAUGGCUCCAGUUCCUCUGACAAGGAUUCACAUGGGGUUGCAAUUCUGACUGUGCUGGUGAUGCUGGUUCCAGGUCCCUCAGGAACCCCUCCCCCAGUCUGGUCUGCCCUUGAACUCUAUACUGGCCCCAGGGUAUCCCAGGAUUGUCAGAAAGGCCUGGCCAGGAUUCACCUGGGAGAGGGAUCAGCAUCUCUGCAAAGUUGUUGGAUUGAAAGAACUUUCAUUUUGAGCUACAUCAUUGAAGAGCUUUAAAUCUGAAAAUAAGAAAGACGUUGAACCCUAUUACUCACAUCUCUUUGUCAUUUGAAGCAGAUCCCGAACCACUCAAAAGGACAAAACAAGGAAAUAGCAAUGAAAUUGGAUUCAGUGAAUGGGGUAAGGGUAUUAAGUGUCUGAAAUAUAAGAGAUAAAAAAAUUAGUUUUUACCUUUUUUUCUAUUUUCUAAAUGUUUUGGUGGCUAGAAUAAGAUAUACUUUGAACUCAAGAGCAAUAAAUGUUAAUAUAUUAAAAGUAGCUUUAUGAAAUAUGGAAAGUAUCUUUAUUUCAAAAUACUUCAAAGUAAUCAUCUGAAUAUUUAUCAGAAAUAUUAAGACAACUUAUUAAAUCCUGUAUUAAAAUGAUUGCUUAUUACUUUUUGUUUAUACUAGUCAGAAGUGAUUCUCUUCCACAUUUUAGAUUUUUCAGAGUAAAAAGGAUAUAAUUUUAGACUUUCAAUUGAAUAUAAACUGGGGUUUUUCCACACGAUUUGUGGACAUGGCUGUCUGAUGGUGACUCUUAGGUAUUUAUGCUAAAAAUGUUAUUUUGGGGAUCCUUGGGAAUGGACUCUGAUAUUUAUUUAUUUAUUUAUUUAUUUAUUUAUUUAUUUAUUUAUUUUGAGGCGGAGUUUCACUCUUGUUGCCCAGGCUGGAGUGCAAUGGCACCUUGCCGGCUCACCGCAACCUCCGCCUCCUGGGUUCAAGCAAUUCUCCUGCCUCAGCCUCCUGAGUAGCUGAGAUUACAGGCAUGCGCCACCACGCCCGGCUAAUUUUUUUAUAUUUUUAGUAGAGACGGGGUUUCUCCAUGUUAGUCAGGCUGGUCUCGAACUCCCGACCUCAGGUGAUUCACCCACCUCGGCCUCCCAAAGUGCUGGGAUUACAGGCAUGAGCCACCAUGUCCGGCUGGACUCUGAUAUUUAUAUUCACAUUAUUGGCCAGUAGGGAACUGAUAUCUGACUCAAAAAUUAGUAGGAUAUGAAAUCCUUCAUUCUAUCCAUGAGCUUGUUAUUCUUGAGAAAAAAAUUUACUUUGAGAGUCUGAGGAAUGAUAAGUUUGUUACAUUCCGGAAUCUAGUUUUGGUGUUGUGUCCAUCCUUUAGAUAGGGUGCAGCUCUGUUUUACCAUAGCAACAACUAACUUUUAUUUCCAUAGCCACUGACUGCACUCCUGACCCUGCCAACCAUCUUGCAAAUACAUCCUCUUGCUUAGAAGAACCAGGGGAGGGGUGGGGCAUGGUGGUUCAUGCCUGCA
ensembl:lncRNA NCK1-DT NCK1 divergent transcript